rnacentral:rRNA from 1 species
GACGAACGCUGGCGGCGUGCCUAAUACAUGCCAGUCGAACGAUAGCGACCGGUGCUUGCACUGGUCAAUCUAGUGGCGAACGGGUGAGUAACACGUGGGUAACCUGCCCAUCAUAGGGGGAUAACAUCCGGAAACGGAUGCUAAAACCGCAUAGGUCUUCGAGCCGCAUGGCUUGAAGAGGAAAAGAGGCGCAAGCUUCUGCUGAUGGAUGGACCCGCGGUGCAUUAGCUAGUUGGUGAGGUAACGGCUCACCAAGGCCGUGAUGCAUAGACGAACUGAGAGGGUGAUAGGCGACAUUGGGAGUGAGACACGGCCCAAACUACUACGGGAGGCAGCAGUAGGGAAUCUUCCGCAAUGGACGCAAGUCUGACGGAGCAACGCCGCGUGAGUGAAGAAGGUUUUCGGAUCGUAAAACUCUGUUGUUAGAGAAGAACAAGUGCUAGAGUAACUGUUAGCGCCUUGACGGUAUCUAACCAGAAAGCCACGGCUAACUACGUG